AAAAUAUUUAGGGUACCUAAGCAGAUAAACAUAACCCAGUCAAAUUGGAUGAAUGGAAAAAUCUCUUCCUCUUUGCCAAUUCAAUCAACUGAACAAGAAAACAAAAGAAGAGUGUAUUUAGAAGCAAGCUAUUGAAUCUAAUGGACACCCUCUUUCAAUGCACCGAAUAAUUAGUGCGACUGGAAAAGACUCCAAGGGGCCGUUAUGAACCUACAUUUUAUGGACAAUUAAUAGCCAGUUGUCCUUUGUCGUUUGAUGCUUCUGUUCUAGUUCUGAAAUUUGGGAAUGCUAGUAUGAUACGUGAAGGCAUAUUGCUGGGUAUAAUGAUGGAUAAAAAGCCUUUACCCAUUCUUCAUCCAUUUGGAGAGGAUAUAUUGGUAACGCCAGAGUGGAUCAAUAUUACUAUUUCCAAUUGCACUGAUUCUAUGUUGUAAUUUUUAUGAGCUUUAUUGUAAUUGAAUCCUUUUGUUUUCGUCAGUUUACAAAGCAUAUUGCUAGCUACUUUACUGACCGAACAAUCUUAGCCGGUCGAAAGGAGAUGGAAUUCAUGGCUAACUUUUGUGCAUUUGAAUUUUGGCAGCAUCUUUUCAGGGUAAUUGAUUUGUCUGAUAAUUCAAUGCUACCUAAUUCUAUGAUGAUGAAUAUUGUUCUAUCAUUAUAACAGGGAUGCCGAAGAGAAGAGCAGAGAAUGUAAACAUCUUUUAAAGUAACGAUAUAGAUAGAUACACGGAUUUCACAAAGAAUGGGAUCCCAAACUUUUUGCUACACUGUAAUUAUAAUUCAAGCUGUGUUUGGUUAUUCCAAAUUAAAAAUUUUUUCCUUCUUCUCCUUUCUAUCCUUGAUUGACACAGGUUGAGUUGUAUUAUAUGUCGUACAAGACAAGAGUGUCCAAAUUCCAAACAAAAUAAUAAUAACCAAAAUAUUAUCAUAUUUGAA